GAACGCUGGCGGCAGGCCUAACACAUGCAAGUCGAACGGUAACAGGAAGCAGCUUGCUGCUUUGCUGACGAGUGGCGGACGGGUGAGUAAUGUCUGGGAAACUGCCUGAUGGAGGGGGAUAACUACUGGAAACGGUGGCUAAUACCGCAUAACGUCGCAAGACCAAAGAGGGGGACCUUCGGGCCUCUUGCCAUCAGAUGUGCCCAGAUGGGAUUAGCUUGUUGGUGAGGUAACGGCUCACCAAGGCGACGAUCCCUAGCUGGUCUGAGAGGAUGACCAGCCACACUGGAACUGAGACACGGUCCAGACUCCUACGGGAGGCAGCAGUGGGGAAUAUUGCACAAUGGGCGCAAGCCUGAUGCAGCCAUGCCGCGUGUAUGAAGAAGGCCUUCGGGUUGUAAAGUACUUUCAGCGGGGAGGAAGGUGUUGUGGUUAAUAACCGCAGCAAUUGACGUUACCCGCAGAAGAAGCACCGGCUAACUCCGUGCCAGCAGCCGCGGUAAUACGGAGGGUGCAAGCGUUAAUCGGAAUUACUGGGCGUAAAGCGCACGCAGGCGGUCUGUCAAGUCGGAUGUGAAAUCCCCGGGCUCAACCUGGGAACUGCAUUCGAAACUGGCAGGCUUGAGUCUUGUAGAGGGGGGUAGAAUUCCAGGUGUAGCGGUGAAAUGCGUAGAGAUCUGGAGGAAUACCGGUGGCGAAGGCGGCCCCCUGGACAAAGACUGACGCUCAGGUGCGAAAGCGUGGGGAGCAAACAGGAUUAGAUACCCUGGUAGUCCACGCCGUAAACGAUGUCUACUUGGAGGUUGUGCCCUUGAGGCGUGGCUUCCGGAGCUAACGCGUUAAGUAGACCGCCUGGGGAGUACGGCCGCAAGGUUAAAACUCAAAUGAAUUGACGGGGGCCCGCACAAGCGGUGGAGCAUGUGGUUUAAUUCGAUGCAACGCGAAGAACCUUACCUGGUCUUGACAUCCACAGAAGAAUCCAGAGAUGGAUUUGUGCCUUCGGGAACUGUGAGACAGGUGCUGCAUGGCUGUCGUCAGCUCGUGUUGUGAAAUGUUGGGUUAAGUCCCGCAACGAGCGCAACCCUUAUCCUUUGUUGCCAGCGGUUAGGCCGGGAACUCAAAGGAGACUGCCAGUGAUAAACUGGAGGAAGGUGGGGAUGACGUCAAGUCAUCAUGGCCCUUACGACCAGGGCUACACACGUGCUACAAUGGCGCAUACAAAGAGAAGCGACCUCGCGAGAGCAAGCGGACCUCAUAAAGUGCGUCGUAGUCCGGAUUGGAGUCUGCAACUCGACUCCAUGAAGUCGGAAUCGCUAGUAAUCGUGGAUCAGAAUGCCACGGUGAAUACGUUCCCGGGCCUUGUACACACCGCCCGUCACACCAUGGGAGUGGGUUGCAAAAGAAGUAGGUAGCUUAACCUUCGGGAGGGCGCUUACCACUUUGUGAUUCAUGACUGGGGUGAAGUCGUAACAAGGUAACCGUAGGGGAACCUGCGGUUGGAUCACCUCCUUACCUUAAAGAA
rnacentral:rRNA from 2 species